rnacentral:sRNA from 1 species
CUUGGUCAUUUAGAGGAAGUAAAAGUCGUAACAAGGUUUCCGUAGGUGAACCUGCGGAAGGAUCAUUCACAAACGAGUGUUUUAUGGCACUCUUUAAAAAUCCAUAUCCACCUUGUGUGCAAUGUUUGUUGGGAAAGUCUUUUCUUUCCCUUCAUAAAUAUCAACCUAUAUCUUUAACGACAUUCGUCUGAUAACAUAUUAUGAAUAUACUUAAUUCAAAAUAUAACUUUCAACAACGGAUCUCUUGGCUCUCGCAUCGAUGAAGAACGCAGCGAAAUGCGAUACGUAAUGUGAAUUGCAGAAUUCAGUGAAUCAUCGAAUCUUUGAACGCAUAUUGCGCUCUUUGGUAUUCCGAAGAGCAUGCUUGUUUGAGUAUCAGUAAACACCUCAACCUCUCUUUUUUGAUAAAAAAAAGGGAGGGUGGACUUGAGCUAUCCCAACGACCUUCACCGGUAGGCGGGCGGCUUGAAAUGCAGGUGCAGCUGGACUUUUAUCUGAGCUAAAAGCAUAUCUAUUUAGUCCUCGUCAAACAGGAUUAUUACUUUUGCUGCAGCUAACAUAAAGGAUAAUUGUCCUCUUUGCUGACUGAUGCAGGAUUUUACGACACUUUAUGUGUUGUUCAACUCGAUCUCAAAUCAAGUAAGACUACCCGCUGAACUUAAGCAUAUCAAUAAGCGGAGGAAAAGAAACUAACAAGGAUUCCCCUAGUAACGGCGAGUGAAGUGAGAUGAGCUCAAAUUUGAAAUCUGGCUGGUUUACUAGUCCGAGUUGUAAUUUAAAGAAGCGUUUUCGGUGGCAGCCUGGGUAUAAAUCCUUUGGAAUAGGGUAUCAUAGAGGGUGAGAAUCCCGUCUUUGACCUAGUGCAUGCUACUAUGUGAUACGUUUUCAAAGAGUCGAGUUGUUUGGGAAU